UACGGGGGGGGCAAGCGUUGUUCGGAAUUACUGGGCGUAAAGGCUCGUAGGCGGCCAACUAAGUCAGACGUGAAAUCCCUCGGCUUAACCGGGGAACUGCGUCUGAUACUGGAUGGCUAGAGUGUGGGAGAGGGAUGCGGAAUUCCAGGUGUAGCGGUGAAAUGCGUAGAUAUCUGGAGGAACACCGGUGGCGAAGGCGGCAUCCUGGACCACGACUGACGCUGAGUGAGCGAAAGCCAGGGGAGCAAACGGG
rnacentral:rRNA from 1 species